rnacentral:tRNA from 1 species
GGACCUGUGGUCUAGUCUGGAAUAUGACACGGGACUUCGGAUCCCGAAAUCGAGGGUUCAAAUCCCUUCAGGUCCG